rfam:Phlebia centrifuga strain FBCC195 PHLCENscaffold_2536, whole genome shotgun sequence.
GCCUGCCUAGCUCAAUCGGAUAGAGCGUCAGACUCUUAGGAGUGCGGGCCAAAUAUCCGUGUCAUCUGAAGGCUGCGAGUUCGACCCUCGCGGUGGGCU